rnacentral:rRNA from 1 species
AUGAACGCUAGCUACAGGCUUAACACAUGCAAGUCGAGGGGCAUCAGGAAGAAAGCUUGCUUUCUUUGCUGGCGACCGGCGCACGGGUGAGUAACACGUAUCCAACCUGCCCUUUACUCGGGGAUAGCCUUUCGAAAGAAAGAUUAAUACCCGAUAGUAUAAUGAUUCCGCAUGGUUUGAUUAUUAAAGGAUUCCGGUAAAGGAUGGGGAUGCGUUCCAUUAGGUUGUUGGUGAGGUAACGGCUCACCAAGCCUUCGAUGGAUAGGGGUUCUGAGAGGAAGGUCCCCCACAUUGGAACUGAGACACGGUCCAAACUCCUACGGGAGGCAGCAGUGAGGAAUAUUGGUCAAUGGGCGAUGGCCUGAACCAGCCAAGUAGCGUGAAGGAUGACUGCCCUAUGGGUUGUAAACUUCUUUUAUAUUAGAAUAAAGUGCAGUAUGUAUACUGUUUUGUAUGUAUAAUAUGAAUAAGGAUCGGCUAACUCCGUGCCAGCAGCCGCGGUAAUACGGAGGAUCCGAGCGUUAUCCGGAUUUAUUGGGUUUAAAGGGAGCGUAGGUGGACUGGUAAGUCAGUUGUGAAAGUUUGCGGCUCAACCGUAAAAUUGCAGUUGAUACUGGGUGUCUUGAGUACAGUAGAGGCAGGCGGAAUUCGUGGUGUAGCGGUGAAAUGCUUAGAUAUCACGAAGAACUCCGAUUGCGAAGGCAGCUCACUGGACUGCAACUGACACUGAUGCUCGAAAGUGUGGGUAUCAAACAGGAUUAGAUACCCUGGUAGUCCACACAGUAAACGAUGAAUACUCGCUGUUUGCGAUAUACAGUAAGCGGCCAAGCGAAAGCAUUAAGUAUUCCACCUGGGGAGUACGCCGGCAACGGUGAAACUCAAAGGAAUUGACGGGGGCCCGCACAAGCGGAGGAACAUGUGGUUUAAUUCGAUGAUACGCGAGGAACCUUACCCGGGCUUAAAUUGCAGUGGAAUGAUGUGGAAACAUGUCAGUGAGCAAUCACCGCUGUGAAGGUGCUGCAUGGUUGUCGUCAGCUCGUGCCGUGAGGUGUCGGCUUAAGUGCCAUAACGAGCGCAACCCUUAUCUUUAGUUACUAACAGGUCAUGCUGAGGACUCUGGAGAGACUGCCGUCGUAAGAUGUGAGGAAGGUGGGGAUGACGUCAAAUCAGCACGGCCCUUACGUCCGGGGCUACACACGUGUUACAAUGGGGGGUACAGAAGGCAGCUACCUGGUGACAGGAUGCUAAUCCCAAAAGCCUCUCUCAGUUCGGAUCGAAGUCUGCAACCCGACUUCGUGAAGCUGGAUUCGCUAGUAAUCGCGCAUCAGCCACGGCGCGGUGAAUACGUUCCCGGGCCUUGUACACACCGCCCGUCAAGCCAUGGGAGCCGGGGGUACCUGAAGUACGUAACCGCAAGGAGCGUCCUAGGGUAAAACUGGUGACUGGGGCU